rnacentral:lncRNA from 1 species
AGAGAUUAAAAUACUCUUGUAAUAUCCUCAUAUUUUACCAUAUAGUGAUAUCAUCGGUUGUUCCCGUGGUUUUUUCCCGAAAGGGUUUUUUCCACGUUAAAUCCUUGUGUUCUCAUUUUUACUUUUCUUCUCAUAUUUCUUUUCUUCAUUGUCGAUAUAAUUUUAACAUAUUUGAUACACGGGAGAAUUUAGGUCGAAUCUGGCAUAGUACCCAAUCGUCUAGUUGCAAGCAUGUCAUAGUUAUCACCUUUAGCUAACAUUUGGUGUUGUUUUUAUUUGCUUGGUAUCUCUAAUUUAGUUGGAAUUGUUUCAUUUCUAAAGUCUUGUAAACAUUGUGCACUACUAGAUGGAAAUGAUACUUUAAACAUGAUCAACUUCCUGAUUUGUAAGGUCAUGCUGGGGUUAACUAAAGUGCGCGUACAAUGACAAUUAUGUGGAGAAAUUUUCUAGAAUUUGUCAAGUUCUCCUGGUAGGUCUGCUGGAAAUUCUAUGAAGUGGCAGUUACACAUGAUAUCUUGGAAACGUUUGAAAUGAAUGUUUGUUCACAUGAUGAGUUAUUUCUCCUGUCAUUUUUCCUGCUACUGUUGCAUUAGAUUCAUAAGCUUUAGUGUAUGUGGUAAAAAUUGCUCAAGUCAUGUUUGAAGCAUCAUGUACCUAGCAAAGUUUUCCAUCGUUCUGACCCGAGGGUCUAUCGGAAAUAACCUCUCUGCCCGAUCGGGGCAGAGGUAAGGUUUGCGUACACAUUACCCUCCCCAGACCAUACUAUGUGGGAUUUUACUGGGUAGUUGUUGUUGUUGUUGUUUCAUUGAUAUUGUUUUCCUAUUGAUGUUUGGAUAAUCAUCUUUUAUGAGAAAGAGGAAAUGCUGUACCUUUACAAAGAAAGUAUGAGAUAUAGAGUAUCUUUUCAAUUUUUUUUAAAAAAAGAUGUCUCUUCGUAAUAGUUGGUAUCUUGAAUGGUAAAUCUCGAAUUGUCAUACUGGAAUUUAUCAAACCAAAGUAAGAUUAACCAUUCCAAAGCUUUGCUAAUUAAUUUUUCUUAUAUUCUUGUAGCCUUGUUGAUGUUACUGGAUAACACCUCGUGAAUUUAGACUACUUUUGGGGUAAGUGAUUUAACUAUUGCUCAUUUUAAAUUAUAUAUGUUAUUUUACCAAUAGUUGUUUAUCAUUUUUUUUCUAUCUUUUGUACUCACAGGUUUUGUGGAUUGAAGUUACAAGUCAAGAUGCAAGCUUAGAAAAUGCACAAGCUCAUUAUUAUUUUGCUAAAAACGUUUUGUAGAUUGAAGCUACAAGUUAAGAUGCAAGCUUAGAAGAUGCAC